UACGUAGGGGGCUAGCGUUGUCCGGAUUUAUUGGGCGUAAAGAGCGUGUAGGCGGCCAGGUAGGUCUGCUGUGAAAACUCGAGGCUCAACCUCGAGACGUCGGCGGAAACCAUCUGGCUAGAGUCCGGAAGAGGAGAGUGGAAUUCCUGGUGUAGCGGUGAAAUGCGCAGAUAUCAGGAAGAACACCCGUGGCGAAGGCGGUGCUCUGGGCCAGUAUUGACGCUGAGGAGCGAAAGCGUGGGUAGCAAACAGG
rnacentral:rRNA from 1 species